rnacentral:tRNA from 1 species
CCCUUCAGAGCUCAGUGGAAGCGCGACGGCCUUCUAAUCCGUUGGUCGCAGGUACGAACCCGACCGGAGGGA